AGCAUGAGAAAAAUCAGAUGUGAAGGGGGCAGCUUACAUGAAUCUCUUCUAGAUAACUAAGAAGUUGAUCAAGAGACAGUGAGGUGUAUCAUGGUGUGGAUACCCCACACAGUACUUCUGAAAACUUUACCACAUGACCAGGAUUUCCGAAACAGCUGGGCAUUCACAGACGUUUUCCUCAUUAUGUUAAAUUCUGAGCUCUUUUGGAAACACCACUACACGUACCAAGCAGGGGCAGUGUUAAGCACGGAAUGCUUUUGGAAAAUUCAGCUUUUGUUCUGAUGAAAGUCUGCUUUUCUGAGAAUGCUGGCCUUACUGGGGAAGUUGAGCUCCUGCAAAAGUGAUCAUGUUAAGACUCAUGUCUUAAAAUUAAUGGGAGACGUUGUGACGAUUUUGCUUCUGAUUAACAAAAAUAUAAUCUUUGUAAUGUCAUGAGGUCAUACUGUUCAUUACAAUUAAGUAUAUGUGUGUGGUUAUGCUAGUCUAAAAGUGAUGUAUGUUGGUCUUAUCACCCUAUUACUGCUUAAUUAGUUGUAUAAUUGACCCAAAGAGCAUUUUAUGUUUAAUCUGAAGGUCUAUUGUUGAGUUACCCGCAGUUUUAAAUGGAUGUCAAUAGGAAGACUCACACAUAGCAAGUUACUCUCAGCUGUUACAGUACAAGAUGUAGGAAGAAUUGUACCUAGGGGGAUUAUAUGGUUAAUUGUGGCCUGUAUCAGAUAUAAUACCCACCUUCUGCAAACUACAGAUUGCAUGGAAUUUACAUAGAAUUAGACUAAUCCCAAGAAAAUUGACAAUUAAUUUCAUAGGACUUGGAGAUAUGACAGCUCCUGUAUGACUGAAGGGUAAGAGCAUCUGUGUAUGGCACCAUGCUGCCAUAUCCCUUUUUCACUGAAGUUCAAUGACGUACUGUUGGAUUUGUUUUCCCCACUACUUCCUUUCUCCCUUUGAAACAUUUCAGAAAGCUUAUAAGGAAAAUUUUACUGUCAGUAGAUUCCCUGCACAUGAGGGAGGAAAGAAGAAAAGAUCAGGUUUGAUGAAUGAGAUUCCAAUGCACACACCUAAAUACCAACCUAAAUUUCAGCCAGUUUAAAACCAAAUAAAAAUAUAUUUCUUGUAAAUUGAUCUCCUAAU
rnacentral:lncRNA from 14 species